AAAAUUUUAGUAUAAUAUAAUUAUAUCCCAUUGUCAAUGGGGAGAUUGAAAUUUUA
rnacentral:tRNA from 1 species